AAAGGAACUGUGGAGAGACCACUUAUUUUCGUAAUCUCGCAGCAUGCUCUCUCCUGGACAGAGUUUAAUAAAUUUUACUCAGAGGUAAAGGACCUGGAAUUGCAUUUAGAGUGAAGGAUUGUGUUGUGUGCAAUAAUGUGUUUCCCAAAUUUUUUGAUUCUAAGUCCCCUUGUAGAUUUUCAAACAUUUUGUACUUCCUUAAUUUAUUCAAAAUAUGAGAUAAAUUGUUUUAAAAUUUAAAUAUGAUAAUUUUAUAUUUUUAUCACCACACAGUACCUAAAUUCCUCUCUAUCCCUCCACUGUUGGGAAAUAUUGCUGUAAUAUAAUUUGUGUUUCAAAAGUCUGAUUACAAAUUGUUAAUCGCAGGUUAAAGGCCUAUAUAAUAAUGG